rnacentral:tRNA from 1 species
GCGGCGGUAGCUCAGCUGGAUAGAGUAGGUGGCUACGAACCACUUGGUCGGGGGUUCGAAUCCUCUCCGCCGCA